rnacentral:rRNA from 1 species
UACGUAGGGGGCUAGCGUUGUCCGGAAUCAUUGGGCGUAAAGCGCGUGUAGGCGGCCCGGUAAGUCCGCUGUGAAAGUCGGGGGCUCAACCCUCGAAUGCCGGUGGAUACUGUCGGGCUAGAGUACGGAAGAGGCGAGUGGAAUUCCUGGUGUAGCGGUGAAAUGCGCAGAUAUCAGGAGGAACACCCAUUGCGAAGGCAGCUCGCUGGGACGUUACUGACGCUGAGACGCGAAAGCGUGGGGAGCAAACGGG